GAGCCUGUGCAGCAGGCAGAGGGGUCUGACGGUGUGGAACCUGGCUAGCAAGCCCAAGCAAGCGGAUAACGGAUUUUCAUGAACCAAUAAAAAAGCGAUGGGUCGUUUGGACCUUGUAGGCACUGAUGGGCGGCGCUUCCAGGAGAAGCUACUAGGAGUGGAUCAGGCUAAGGAGGCAUCGUCCGACCGCCUUCUGCAUUACCACAAACCAACGGCAGGGGGAGCCUGCGGCUUACAAAGGAAGUUACCCUCGCUGCGUGAUCCUGGCGUCGGGUGGGUAGUGCGUUCCCUCGCUCCCUCACCCUCCCAGCAGCCUGGAGUCUACUCUGAAACUGGAGAGUGAUUUGGGCCUGAUCCUGUCCAGUCUGAGAGAGACAGAGGCCAGCCUGCUGUCAGAGAUAACAUGGCUGUUGGAAGGGAAGUCUGGGGAAAACAUUUUAAUAAAGAAUCCUGGGAAUUCCUGCUCCAGUUGUGAGAGGGUCUCCCCGGGGCAAGCCUGAAUUAACCCCAAGGAGACAACCUGACAGCUGGGAACUAUGCGUGCCUGCCACAUACCUGUUACUCAUCCAGAUGGUGGAAAAACAAGGCGGACAAUCCCGGUGACCAAACAUGAGUGGAAAAACAAGGCGGACAAUCCCGGUGACCAAACAUGAAGGGGUCUGGAGCCUUCGGUGCCUCUGACCCUCUCCUCGUCAGUGCCCAGCUCUGGUGGUGGCCCCAGAGGGAGGCCAUUCACACGGUGUUCUGAAGGACACCACCCCUCUGGCUGGGAGGCCCAAGGCUCCUGUUCUCUCCUUCUCCUUUGCUUGGGGGUGAUGUGCAUGUAUAGUAGGUGCUCACUGCAUAAUCACCAGCGGCCUGAGACACAGAGAGGGGGGCAGGCUGAGGACCACCCCCCACCCACGGAAGAUCUUGGCACUGCACCUUGCCAGUGUUGUGGUGUGCAAAAAUUGGAAUUUCACAAUAAUUCUCGGAGCCCUGAAAGAAGAUGCUGUCAUAAGUGGAUAUAGUGCUUGGGUGGUGGCAGACCAGCAGGGGGAGAAGAGACACCACUGAGACAUCACUCCUGCAGAAAAACUUGUCCUGCAUGGUGGCCAGAGGAAGAAGAAAUAUGGAUGGACAGGUCUCCAAACUAUACCUAAACCUUGUGUCUCAACAAAGAAGUCACAAGGCUGCUCACUCUCCACUCUGCAGACUCUUCUCUGGUUUGCAGAGGCCAGUGGUCAUAUUAGUGGGUCAUCUAGUCUUCUCACCUCUUUGUUGAUGUCUUUAGUGCUGGAAUAAUUUGCCCUGUUUCUUAUGUCACUAUACCCCCAGGAGAGAUGUGAAAUAGGUUUCUCCUCAUGUGUGCCAGUGGCUGGACAGGCCCCAUCUUGAGAAGGACUCCACAUCACAUGCCCCCAGCUCAGGGUCCCCGAACAGACCCUGAGAUGGAUUCAGAUGCUCUGAGUUCAUUGAGGGAAGCCUCUCUGGCAAAAGGGGGUGAAGGAAGCCAGAUGGAGGGGAAGGAGCUGCAUCAGGAAGUGGUCUUGGCGGCAGCCUAGCUUCAGCCUGAUCCCAUGGGGGGCCUGGUGCACGAAUCACACCUCAGAGUUGGUCCCACCUUGAGGCAAGAAGGCUGGACUUACUAGUCCAGGGCAAGAGUAGCCCCUUAUUCACUAGCUGUUGGUUGCAGGCUGCCUGGGGUGAGGCACCUCUCAUUUUGUUGAGCAUGAUUCUCUGCAGAUGAGGACAGCUGUGAGCCUCUAGCAGCUGGCACUCACAGCAGCUGCGAGACGGAAGUACUUGCCGACAAAGCGGACCUGGUGCCCUAAAGAUUAUGGGACAAUUGAUGUGCAAGACCCUUGGUUAAAGACAACUGCUGAGGAAAAUUCAGAAACGUGAUGCAUCUCUAAAUAAGUCAUUAGCACAGCCAAAAACUGUAGUGCUCACUGAACUGAGAUGAAUUCAUUGAAUUCAUUGACUUGUGCCUUUAUUUAGAAAACAAUGAGUUUAUCCAGGAAAGCAAUUAAACUCUGGCCUAUCAAAAGAAACCUGUUGCUCUUUGUAUAAACUGAACUAUUAUUGUUUACAUAGGAUGUAAAGGUUAAGGCAGCUUAGAUAAUUGCCUUUUCUGUGGCUACAUUAUGUUUUCAAAUAGAAAUAAUCUCAUGAUAUAGAUCAAUGCUGAAUGAGAUAAAAUGAUGAUUUCCAGGAUCCUGACCAUUUUUCUAAUCUCUGCUCAUUAUCUAAUAUCAUGCAGAGUAGGAGGGAUGAAAGGCAAAUGUUUAAAGCCACCAUUUUUGUGGCUGGCUUCUUUCGCUUAGCAUAAUGUUUUCAAGGUUGAUCCAUGUUGUAACAUGUUUUAAUACCCCAUUACUUUUUACUGCCAAGUAAUAUUUCAUAGUAUUUAUAUAUCACAUUUUAUUUAUCCAUUCAUCCAUUUUGGACAUUUAUUUGUUUCCUUUUAUUUAUUUAUUUUUGACCAUAUAGUAGGUUUUGACCAAAUAGUAGGCUGCUAGGAACAUUUGUGUACGUAUUUUUGAGUGAACAUAUAUUUUUAUUUCCCUUGCAUAUAUUCCUAAGAGUUGAAUUGCUAGGUCAUAGGUCAGACCUUUAAAAUAAUAUAAUGUGGCAACUCUGGGAAUCAGAUUAUUGCCUCUCUCCUGCAUUUGUCAUUGUUGUGUUGUUGUUUGUUUACUGGCUUAUCUGAAUUAAUUCUGUAAAGUCUGUAUUUUUUCUCAUAGGUAGCCAAAAAGUCCGCCCCAUUUAGCUUAGUGGUAUGCUAAUUAUUAGACAGAGGUUCCUUAAGUGCAUAGAACCAGUAUGUCUCCUAAUCUUUGCAAGGGGCUCUGUGUGUGUAUUGGGGGCAUAUUCUCAACACUCAGACAAUAGUUUACAAAUUUGUGUUAGUCUUUACUUCCUGCUUGCACAGGUCCUCCAGGUCAGUCAGAGCUGAAAGCUUAAGGCCUUCUCAGGUCUUUCCUGAGCAUGACACAAGUCUGGGAAGGCCCAGAGUCCUAUUCAAAUGUGCAGCUUUCUAAAUUCCCCAGAAUACUUCAGAAAUUUUCAAAGCCUCCUGUGUACAACUCAUUCCUCAGCUUUUCCUUUUAAGUUUUUUUGGUUGGCCUAUUGUUUGCCUGAAGUCUUAUCUACUGUCUCAGGCAGCCAUGAUGUUAAACAACUGUCUCUGAUAGUUUCUGACAAAUGUCCUUUAAAGAAAACACUGUUUGUACUUAGGGAGGUCUGAGUCAUGUCAAAUAAAGACAGCCUUCUUAGCAGGGUCUUCCAGGGACCCACCAGACUGGUCAAAUAAUGAAAGUUCUCUGGAAAUGGAGCUUUGAAGGAGUUCCAACCCUGCUCUGACCUCUCUUGUGGCUGCCAGGCUGCUGGUUUUCAUUGUGAUUAUGGGCUGUUGGUUUUCAAGAGUUCGGCUGAUCUGAGAGUGGGGCUAGAGCAAGUUAAAAUGCCAGAAAGCUGUUUGUAACAAGAUUUCACCAUUUUUCUUGAGUAAGUGCACCUUGGAUUGCUGCAAGCCUUUGGUUAAUUUAUAUAUUUCUGAAAAAAUUGAUUUUGAUAAUUUUUGCCAGUAUUUUUAUGGAGAGGGGUUUCAGAGAUCCUUAGUUCAUCAUUUUUGCUGACAUCCCCCACAAUGAAUUUUGAUGAUAUGGCACCACAAAGUCUCAGAACUUCAUCUUAGAAUCCUAGGUUUCUCAUCAUGGGUUAAAUUUCAGUAUUCUAUCUUGCAAUCUUUUUGUUUACAUAGAUUACAUAAAUAAUGGUAAAAACCUACCACCAAAACAAUGGAGAAACAAAAAAACUGUGUUUCUCAAUUUUUGGUUUAGAUACCUAGGUCACUCUAAUCAUAGGACAAAAUCAUCACAUGUCAGAGAAACAGGUGGCUAAUGGCUAAUUAGAAUAAGCGAGGGGUUCCUCUUGAUCCUCUAUAGAACAAAGGGUAUGAGUAACAGGGCAAAGAAGAAAUGCAGUGGUUCCCUUUAUGUCCCCAGAAAAAGAAGACUCUUACAUUCAGCUUGCCUUUGGCUUCCUCCUAGAUCUCCUUCUGAUAUGGACACCAGCUUGUCAUAUGAUCUCAGCUAGGGUGACAUAUCCUGCCCUAUCCUGGCCUCCUUUAAGUUCUGCACUAUUCCCUAGUAGACAUUAGCACACGGCUCAACUCACAUCCAGCUUACACCUCUAUCCCUUGCCUCUUGGCCUACUAGGGUCCCAUUGUCUGAGAAAUCAGCCUUGCUGGGAGUCUCUUGCUUUCCUGUUUAGAAACAGCUCGUGGAGAAGUUUUAGUAGCCAGCCAAAGCCAGACAUAUCUCCCAAAUGUUGCUCCCAAAUGCUGCCUCUGUAUGACUUGGUGGAAAAAUCAUUCAGUUCAGGCAAGGUGAGUGCAGUGGGGAGAUGUCCCCUCAAGAAGGGUUGGAGCGAGAGCAGGGCAAGUGUGGGCAGCAGCCUGCUGACUGGCCCAGGCUGUGACCCUGAUUUGCAAUGUCUCUUUCAGAAGCUUUCAAAUCACAUUCGGCUCUGGCUGUUGUUGACUUGAUGAGCAGUGUCAGAAGUGCCAAGAGCUCUUCUGCAUGGCCUCAUCGGGGGCCCAUGCCCCUUGGGAGCCAAUGUUUGCAGCCUCUAGGCAUUUCUUGGCCUGCUUUGCUCCUCCAGACCACCCCACCUGCCUUCCCAGCUGCCCUCACUCUCCUAGAGGCCCAGGUGUUCCCCUUUGGUGCGCUGGACCCAGCAACCAGACACAGGCCGGGGGUGUUUUCUGGGCAGCUAGAUCCUGUCCAACCAGUGGUCUCAACCUGGCUUCAUACUGGAAUCCUCUGGGGGACUUUUGAAAAUACCAGUUCUGAAUCCUACUCUGAGCCACUUAAAUCAGAGGGUCUGGAAGGGGCUUGUGAUUUUCAGACAAGAAAACUGAGGCCAUGAGCAGGUAAAUGACUUUCCAACUUUGCAUGGCUAGUGAAUGGCAGAGAGGGACUGGACUCCAGGCACUCUGACGCUCAGCCCAGUGUCCUGUGCACUGGUACUGAUAUUGCUGUUGUCUCUGCUGUUAUUUCUGUGUCCAGGUUUUCCAACUUAGAUUUCUUGGACUGUUAAGACUUUUAUUCCUAGACGUGGAAAGGUUUUGUUUUUUUUUAAUUGAAAUUGGACCAUAUUUAUUUUUGUCCUCCUUUUAACCUCCACUCACCCUAGAUUUUCUUAUCCAAGUGACAAAUGGUCUGGACUUUUUUUUUUUUUUUUUGAGAGGGCAUCUCUCAUAUUUAUUGAUCAAAUGGUUGUUAACAACAAUAAAAUUCUGUAUAGGGGACUCAAUACACAAUCAUUAAUCAACCCCAAGCCUAAUUCUCAACAGUCUCCAAUCUUCUGAAGCGUAAUGAACAGGUUCUUACAUGGUGAACAAGUUCUUAUAUAGUGAAUAAGUUCUUACAUGGUGAACAGUGCAAGGACAGUCAUAUCACAGAAACUUCGGUUUUGAUCACGCAUCAUGAACUAUAAACAAUCAGGUCAAAUAUGAUUAUUCAUUUGAUUUUUAUACUUGAUUUAUAUGUGAAUCCCACAUUUCUCCCUUAUUAUUAUUAUUAUUAUUUUAAAUAAAAUGCUGAAGUGGUAGGUAGAUGCAAGAUAAAGGUAGAAAACAUAAUUUAGUGCUGUAAGAGGGCAAAUGUAGAUGAUCAGGUCUGUGCCUAUAGACUAAGUAUUAAUCCAAGCUAGACAAGGGCAACAAGACAUCCACGGAUGCAGAAGAUUCCUUUCAAAACAGGGGGGAUGAGGUUCUAAGCCUCACCUCUGUUGAUCCCCAGUUUCUCACCUGAUGGCCCCCCUGCGACUGUGCCUGUCUUAGGUUGUUCCUCCCUUGAGGAAUCUUACCUGUAUCUGGCUAACCAGUCAUCUUCCAGGGCCAUACAGGGAAAUGUAAAGUUGGUGAGAGAGAAGCAAUAUUCUUUGAAAAGGUUAGCUUUUUACCUCUUUGCAGAUUUAUGCCCUGUGGCUUCUAUGCCCAGCAUUUGUCUUGAGGUAUCUUUACCACUUGGAAGAAUUAUGAUACUUGGUAAUUUUCUAUAUGAGGCACGAAUUCUACUAAAGGGUUGUAAUUAGGAAGGAAGAAGAGAAGCUAUAGAAGUAGCAGACGGAAGAAAACAUGGGAAGAUUGAUUAUUUCUUCGACAUAUCUUCUUGUAGAGUAACAUAAGCAUGUAUAGGUUUUAAACUACUAAUUAAAUUGCGUGCACACAUUAACAUAAUAGGAAUACAGCUACAUAACAAAAUCAGACCUACAAUUACCAGCCAUAUCCAGUGAAACCAAGAAAACCAGUUAGGCACCCUAGGCAUUUGUGAAAACUUAUCAAUGAUAUGAUGGAUAUUGUCUAACUGAAUUUGAAUAGUUUGAGAAAAAUCAGACAAAUUAUAACAACACAUUCCUGGGAACUGUUCACAUCCCAUAUGUUCUUUUAACAGUAGAUACUCUAUAGUCGCAAGAUUUUGGAGCUCUGCAACUUGCACUUCUCCUAAUUCUUGGUUGAGUUCCGACAGUAUAGAUCCAGUCAAAUUUAUUGUUUUACUGUAGGCACAGGCCAGCUUAGAUAUCUCCUUCUUCAUUCCAAUGGCAAGUCCAGGAACUGGUGGGAUGAAUGCAGCUACAACUGCAGCAGCGCCAGGAUCUUUGUUGAAGUUUUUUGAUGACCACCUUCUGGAAUGACUCUUCUAGAGGAUGUUGAUGUUGGAAGUUCUUCUUCAUAUCGUAUCUUAAUUCAUUUUCUGGGUAGCCAAAUUAGGCUUUGAUCCUCUGUAUAAACACAAACAAACCCUUUGCCCACACUUUGAUCGUGGAAAGGAUUUUUUUACUUUUCAGUAUUUUAAAAAGCUUAACAGAAAUUAUGUCUUAGUCUGUGACUGUAUACAUGGUCUCUUAGUAAAUGUAAAUUGUUUGGAAGGCAGAAAGGUUUUAAAACCCAAGAGCUCACAGGAAGAACAUUAAUACAGGGGUCACUGGUCAACAUUUUAUAAAAAAGGUCCCUGACUGGGACACCUGUGGCACUGUUUAAAUCCUAGCUCUCUUACCCUCCAAGGUUCUGGCCAGUGGGUCUGGCAUUGCCAGAAACAUCCACAGAUGGGAUGCAGUGCACUCUCCAGGGAAAGCCUCAGCCCCUGCUGAGAUGCAGAGGUCCCAGUGAACCGCCAGGGGAAUGUGGUGGGGCCUCAGAUGUCCUGUCCCAGGGUGGGGGCCUCCAGGCCUUCCGGGUGGACCUGACUGCCGUGCUCAUCAGCGAGGAGAAGUGGAGGAGGGCUGGGUCAAGAGCACGGGCGCCUGGGUGGUGCGGGGGUGGGUGGCCUCUAAUGCAGUGAGCCCUCCCGCAGGUAGCUGGGGCUGGCAGUGUCAGGUGCUUACCAGGGUUCUUUCUGUUUCCUAGAGGACGGGUGGGAAGGAAUAAAGAGGAAACAGAAGUGUUUCCUUCCAUACUCCCUGUGGUAGGUUGAAUAAUGGCCCCCCAAAAUGUCCAUGUUGUAACCCCUAGAAUCUGUUAAUUACCUCAGAUUAUCCUGGGAGGCCCAGUGGAAUCACAACAGUCCUUUUAAGAGUCUAGAGGGUCAGAGUCAGAAAGGAGAUGUGACCAUGGAAGCAGAGGUCAGAGUGAUGGUCAUGUGCCAAGGGAUGCAGGCAACCUCUCCAAACUGGAAAAGGCAAGAGCUGGAUUUUCUCCUAGAGAUUCUAGAAAGAAACAUCCCUGCCAAUACUUGGACUUUAGUGCACUGAGACUGAUCUGGGACUUCUGAGAAUAUUAGAAGAAUUCCUGGUAAUAGUCAUUAUGCCUUUUAUAGCUAAGUGGGUUUUUUUCCCAUAUUAAAAAAAUGAAUACUUGAAUAUAGUCCAUGCUUGAAAGUUAGAAAAGGGUAUUUAAUGCAAAGAGAUUCUCUCCUCUCCUGUCUUCCAGCCACGAUGUUCUUCUCCUCCCUAAAAAAGAGCAGCAGUUAACCAGUUUCUUGUGGAUACUUCCAGAGGAAUGUCAUGCAUACACAAGCCUAUACAUACAUAAGUGUACACUUUGUGCAAAUAGUAUAUCAUGCACAGUA